AGAGUUUGAUCCUGGCUCGGGAUGAACGCUAGCUACAGGCUUAACACAUGCAAGUCGAGGGGCAUCAUGCGGAUUGCUUGCGAUCCGUGAUGGCGACCGGCGCACGGGUGAGUAACGCGUAUCCAACCUUCCCGCUGCUGGGGGAUAACCCGGUGAAAGCCGGACUAAUACCCCAUAAUCCCCGUUGACGGCAUCCGAUUCGGGGCAAAGUUUUUUUCGGCAGCGGAUGGGGAUGCGUCCGAUUAGUUAGUUGGUGAGGUAACGGCUCACCAAGGCUUUGAUCGGUAGGGGUUCUGAGAGGAAGGCCCCCCACAUUGGGACUGAGACACGGCCCAAACUCCUACGGGAGGCAGCAGUGAGGAAUAUUGGUCAAUGGGCGGAAGCCUGGACCAGCCAAGUAGCGUGGAGGACGACUGCCCUAUGGGUUGUAAACUCCUUUUAUGCGGGGAUAAAAUGUUUCACGUGUGAGAUAUUGCAGGUACCGCAUGAAUAAGGACCGGCUAAUUCCGUG
rnacentral:rRNA from 1 species